rnacentral:rRNA from 1 species
AUUGAACGCUGGCGGCAGGCCUAACACAUGCAAGUCGGGCGGUAGCACAAGGGAGCUUGCUCCCCGGGUGACGAGCGGCGGACGGGUGAGUAAUGUCUGGGAAACUGCCUGAUGGAGGGGGAUAACUACUGGAAACGGUAGCUAAUACCGCAUAACGUCUACGGACCAAAGCGGGGGACUUUCGGGCCUCGCGCCAUCAGAUGUGCCCAGAUGGGAUUAGCUAGUAGGUGGGGUAAUGGCUCACCUAGGCGACGAUCCCUAGCUGGUCUGAGAGGAUGACCAGCCACACUGGAACUGAGACACGGUCCAGACUCCUACGGGAGGCAGCAGUGGGGAAUAUUGCACAAUGGGCGCAAGCCUGAUGCAGCCAUGCCGCGUGUGUGAAGAAGGCCUUCGGGUUGUAAAGCACUUUCAGCGAGGAGGAAGGGUCCAGGUUUAAUACACCUGUUCAUUGACGUUACUCGCAGAAGAAGCACCGGCUAACUCCGUGCCAGCCGCCGCCGUAA